UUUGGUAUUUUUUGUGAAUUUUCUCUUUCCUGGUCAUUUUUAAUUCAUUUUAAAUAGGUUUUGAUAUUCAAAAAAUACAAAAAUAUUUUCCCAACCUAUUUGAAUGAUGAUGAAUCUAUGAAAAAUAUUCUCAUCAAUUUUUUAAUUGAUUUGAGAUUUAUUUGAGAUUUUAGUUCAAUUAGGUUAUAUUCAAAAAAUACAAAAAUAUUUUCCCAACCUAUUUGAAUGAUGAUGAAUCUAUGAAAAAUAUUCUCAUCAAUUUUUUAAUUGAUUUGAGAUUUAUUUGAGAUUUUAGUUCAAUUAGGUUAUUUUUUUCAUUUUUAAUUGAUUAAAAAUAGUUUCUGACUUUUAUAAAUGCUGAAAUUUUUUGUCAAACUUUGUUUGACCUUAUUGAAC
rnacentral:lncRNA from 1 species